rnacentral:rRNA from 1 species
AGAACGAACGCUGGCGGCGCGCCUAAUACAUGCAAGUCGAGCGAGAAGACGUAGCAAUACGUUUGUAAAGCGGCGAACGGGUGAGGAAUACAUGGGUAACCUACCCUCGAGUGGGGAAUAACUAGCCGAAAGGUUAGCUAAUACCGCGUACGCUCCUUGGACUUCGGUUCAGGGAGGAAAGCGAUACCGUGGGUAUCGCGCUCUUGGAUGGGCUCAUGUCCUAUCAGCUUGUUGGUGAGGUAACGGCUCACCAAGGCUUCGACGGGUAGCUGGUCUGAGAGGACGAUCAGCCACACUGGCACUGCGACACGGGCCAGACUCCUACGGGAGGCAGCAGUAAGGAAUAUUGCGCAAUGGGCGAAAGCCUGACGCAGCGACGCCGCGUGGGGGAUGAAGGUCUUCGGAUUGUAAACCCCUUUCGGG